UUUUCUUAGUGGCGGACGGGUGAGUAACGCGUGGGUAACCUGCCUUAUACAGGGGGAUAACAGUCAGAAAUGACUGCUAAUACCGCAUAAGACCACGGUACCGCAUGGUACAGUGGUAAAAACUCCGGUGGUAUGAGAUGGACCCGCGUCUGAUUAGGUAGUUGGUGGGGUAACGGCCUACCAAGCCGACGAUCAGUAGCCGACCUGAGAGGGUGACCGGCCACAUUGGGACUGAGACACGGCCCAG
rnacentral:rRNA from 1 species